UCUUAUCUCAAGCGAGUUCGGGAUGGUGAGAGCCGGACGGUGAGAUUGCAUAUUGGCGCUUUCCCUUAAAGUAAGAUUUAGACAGACCAGUUAGUCCUUGCUUUAAUGACAAUAAAAUGACAAUGAAGUAAUAAAUUAGGGUGGAACCGCGUUUUGACG
rnacentral:sRNA from 1 species